CGCCCCGCUCCGCCCCCGGAGGUGCGCGGGGACAGCGGCUGGUGGGCGCACCGGCCGCGAGAGGCUCGGCCGGUUUAUCACUGUGGCUUUUUUCCCCCUUCUUUCGGGAGUGUUGAGGGCUUUUUUUUUUCUUUGGGGGGGGGUAAUUUUUUUCCUCCCCUUAAGCGGGCUGGUGGCUCCUUGCCAUGAGCAGCCCGAAGGCAGCAUGAAAGCGGGCAGGCGCGGCUAUCCCGCCCGCUCCGGUGCAGGAUGGCUCCUGGCGAAGUGCUGCUGCUGCUGCAAAGGGGCUGUCAGAGCCUGAAUAAUUUAAGAGUGAACAAAUGAGAGACGUUCAUGGAGGACUCUCUUCUUACCUAGGCAGAAUUUGACAAGCAUGUAGAUUGCCUUGGGUUUCCACUGCACCUACCACAACUUUACUAAGAGAAAAGCCCCCCUUUCCUAGACAUCUGUGUCACUCUUGCUUAGUAAAGUUAUUCAAGAUCAGCGCCUUUGGAAUUGGUUGGUAAAUGGACAAAGCCUUUCUCUUUGCCCGGAGCUCCUGACAGCCUCCAAGUACCAAAGAGAACUCCACACCACUAGAAAGCAAGAGACAGCUGCUGAAUGUUGGAAGCUACUGCAUCUGGCAAAAGAAGCUGCCACUAAGAUGCACACAGUCUGUUUGUUUGUUCUGCUUGUUUUCUGUGCUUUCUGAGCCCUGUGUGUGCCUGGAAAGUUUAAUGACCAAUUCCUUCUUUCUCAACAUGCAGUUUUUCCUCCCAUCCCAAAAAAGCUUGGAGUUCUGUUCUUGCUUUUUUCAAUUCCGAUUUAUUUUUGUCACUGAUACGCUUCUGUUGUUUCCACUAGGAAUUGUUUGGGACGUAGCCACAGCUUCCUUUGAGGCAGGGAGUUAUUAAGAAAAGGCUGUUCAAAAGUCCUUUUCGCCUCCUACCUUCCGCAAAAUUUCAGCAGAGCGGUCCACCUUGUCAGAGAGUUUGCUGGCUUUAAGCGUAAGGCAGAGUUGACCUUAGCAAUGAUGUCAUUUAACUGAGAAAUUACUUCACUGAAUGUGGAAAAGUUCUUACAGUAGCUCAAUUUGGGAGCUGCUGAAUGAAGCCGACCCUUGACACUUUGCAAAAAGAAUAAGGCUUGUGUUGUAUUAACAGCUGCUUGGAAACCAUGUGUAAUAAAUUUUGUUUUUGUGCCCACCACGAGGAUAAAAGAUGGUAUUCCGCCGGCUUGGGUCCCCCUGCACUCGCAGUAGAGCAGAAUUGCUUAGAUCAAAGUUUAAAAGUCUCCUUCUGUGUGGGUGUCUAAGCAGUUUGCAGUUCCUUAUGCUAAAAGUAACAGUGUACUUGCAAAGGCCAGCAAAUGCUGCUCUUCUUGCUCAGCUUCAAAUAUGACGUUUUCC